UAAUCGUGGAGACCAGUAACCACAUUAAAAAACGGGGCGAUCCCGAAAAGCCACAAGAGUAGGGAAAUUA
rfam:Bacteroidetes bacterium GWF2_40_14 gwf2_scaffold_306, whole genome shotgun sequence.